rnacentral:lncRNA from 1 species
AACAAAAAAUAUGAAAUGUUACAUCCUCUUUAAUUGCUAUGCUAUCAUCAUCACAUAUUCAUCUUCCUUUAAUUAAUUUGUUGGAGAAGAAAAGCUGAGGUCUAAUCCAAUGUUCAUUCCAUUGUAAGCAAUUGGAGCAUACAUCCACAUAUCUUCAGAGCUUAAAAGCUGUUUCAUAUCCAAAUAAAUAAAUAAACAAUGAAUUAAUAUUUAUCUUUUGCAUAUAAGAAAUUGAAAAAUGGAAGUUUCUCAAAUUGUUACCUUAAUUUGAAGCUGCAAAAACUUCACAUAUUGGACAGCUUCCUCAAGCAUAGUGCUAAUAUCUACCUACAAUUCACAAACAAUGAAAAAUUGAAAAUUUGUACACCUUAACCAAUUGUUAGUUCAAUUUCCAUUAAUUGAUUAAGAAAUCUACCUUAGUUCCAUUUGGGACAAGGGUUUGCAAGAUUCUCAAUCUUUCAUUUAUUCUUUCUCUUCUCUUCUGCACAACAAAAGAAAGUAAACCUUUCAUGAGAGACAUAUUUAGCUAAAAGCAAAGACAAGAAUAUAGUACAUUUUGUAUUGACUUAUUUGAACUUAUUUACCGACAUGUGACACUUUCGAGAGUUUAGGAAAACAUAUGACAUGUUCACAUUAUGAAAACAUAUGCAUUUAUGCAUGCGAUAAGUGCUUAAUUAAGUUGUUUAUCCAAACAAAAUUUAAUAUGGUGACAACAAUGGAAUGUAUUAUAAUUCAUCAUGAUUCUAUUGCAGAAAUGUCAUUCAAGAGGACUCACUCUUGCAUAAAUGCUCUGUGCAUCAGUGGCAGGACUACUUGCGGCUCUUGAUUUUCUGCCCAACUUAGGUGCCUCAUGUUCUUUUGGGCUCAAACUUGAAGAUAUUAUUCCUCCGAUUGAGUCAACAUGUGAAAAACGGUUGUUGGUGCCAUUCCACAUUAAGCCCUCUUCAUUGUUGCUCAUAGAAGCAGAUUUUGGACACUUUCUAACAUUCCUCGUGUUUUCUGAAACCUACAUAAUAAAACCAUGAUCACAAUCUAAUCUCACACAAAUAAACAACAUAAGUAAAAAACUAAAAAUAGACAUACAUUUUAGCAUAAGACACUAGUUAACAAGCAUUAGCUUUUUAACUUGAUAUUAUUGUUGUACCUCUAAUGAGCUCCUAAAUCUCUUUGCAGGGUUCUCCAUGUUUGUGCUUCUAUCUUCUUCUGAAGAAGGUUCUAAACAUGACCCUUUAUGAUCAAUAAUGUCAUUAUUUAUGUGUUUGCUUAUGCUAUCAUCCAAAUAUUGAGGACUAAAUUUGGCAUCUUCCAAACAAAAAAACAUGGACAGUGAAUCAAAGUUUGUUGCCAAAUCACAUGAGUAGGUUCCACUACUUGUAGUGCUACUCCCUUGGGAGAAACACAUAAAAUCAGCAUGAGGAAAGUAAGAUGGCAUGCCAAAACUUGUAUUUUUAUUACCACUAAGGAACUGAUUCAUGAAGUCAGCUUCCUCAGCUGUGUACUGUCCACUAAGAGAAUCCCAUUCUUCAGAAAUCAAUUGAGCAGGUUCCAUUUUUUUUUUUUUUUUAAUGACUUUUGAUUUGAAACCUAUGAAAAAUGAGAGUACUCUUGUUUUUGUUUCAAUAUGUUUUAAUGAUAUGAAAAAAUAGUAGCAUUAGUGGUAUAUUUAUACCUAACAACUUAAGGUAAUGCCAAAAUGGGAUUGGAUUCACCUAUAGAAAAAGAUCCCAUUUCAUAAUUGGCAAGAAUUAGGAACAGACAAAGUACUAGUACCCUGAAAUUGAGACCAAAUAUAAUUUAAUUUAGAGGGAGGACCCAUCUCAAUGCCUUGACAUGUAUUAAAGUAAUAGGCAAAACUACUACAUGAUUCUUUAACUUAAAUCAAAUUUGCAAAUCAAUUUUUUUUUUAUCUAUUUUAUGUGUCAAGUUGGUCCUUUAUGCUUCAAAAUAUCAACAAUGUUACUAAACAUUUUCCAUGUAUGUAUGUUAUCAAAAGUCAUACCAGAUGAUUCAUUCAAAAAAAAAAAAAAAAAAGAUUCAUCUUCAAAUUCAUCAAAAUUAACAUUAAUUUAUUUAAAUUAAGUUAACAUCCUCCUAUCAAGUUAAAAAUAAACACAAUGAUGAAAUAUUGGUAAUACAUUAAAAGAUUUGAAUAGGUAUGAUAUAGUGGUGGUUGUGUGAAAUACAAUAGAAGGGCUUUAGUUUUAGGCAUGGUGGUGUCUUGUGCCUGUCAAACAUUCUAACAAAUUGUAUUUUUAUUAUUUGAAUCUGACAAUGACGUUAUUGUUGUUGGACAACUGUAGACAAGUAUCCAACUAAGCAGUUUGAAAUCCUAUCAAGCUCAUUCAACCUAAUUAAGAUCCUGUUUUGUUAACAGUUUUUAACAUAUAUUUUUCCUGGAUUAUGUGCAUCCAGUUACUCUUAGUAUUGGCUUGUCGUGACAUUUAAAUCACUCACAAAAUGAAGCACAACCACUCUUUAGAUUAGGCGUGUCCCGGUGUCAUACAUACGUCGUGUUCGAUAUCAACACGACACCGACAUAUAUAAUUACACUGAAUUAUAUGAUUUUUUUAAAAUUAUUAGCGGUGUCAACAUGUCAGUAUCUAUAUAAUAUCCAUAUUUAUGUCCGUGUUUGUAUGACAAUUUAACUCUGCUUCAAUAUAUACGGCUCUAUUUAGUUUACUAAUUAACCAUUUAGGUCACACUUUUCUUCUUGCAUGUUUUAUUUAUUUAUAUUAAUUGGAAGCCUUAAAAAUAAAUAUAUGACUCUGUUUCUGGCAUUGCAUGCAAUUACAUAAUUUGAUUUUACAUAUAAAUUUUAAAUAGCCAAAUAUUUUAUAAGCCGGCAGGGGCACGACUUCGGAAGGAAAAAAAUAUAUUGUUGAUCAAUUGGUAGGAAUUUUCCCGUGUAUUCAUUUUUGCCAUUAUAAUAUUAUGAUUAUGUAUGAUAUAUAUGAUUAUGAAACAGUUGGCAUUGGUAUUUAGUUAUCUAUUUCUGACCAGUUAAUAUUUGCUACAACUAAUUUUUUAUCACGUGGCCUUUAAAAGAAAGGUUUAUAUUAGAAUUGAAGUGCAAAUAGAGAAUAUUUUUAUGAUUAACAACUGCUAAUCUCAUAGUUCAGAUGAGAAUGGACUAACCAAUUUCUCCAAUCUUCUAUUGCAAGAGGUAGUUUUUCGCAAUUUAUGUUGCUCGUUUGCAUGAAACGCUUUAAUGAUAAUUUCUUUUCAUAUGUUUCUCCAUGAAAAUAAUCAUAUUCGAGACGUGUUUUAUGUUAAAUAUAAGAACAGUGUUAUAUCUCUAGAAAAAGAGUAUCACAAUCUCUUCAAGAAUAAAGACCAGUCAAUCCCAAUGCACUAUUUUCCACAAUGGAGAUGUGGCUGAAAAAUAAAAAGUGAAUAAUAAAUCAUGCAAUAAACACUUGCCAAUUGUGUAUGGAAAUUUUCGUUAUGUUUAUCUCUCUCAUUAGAAAUAGCAUUUUCAUAAAUAUGAAGACUAAUCUCUUCUACUUCUACUAAGACUCAACCCCGUUGAUUUUUUUUUUCUUCACAUUUCCUAUUUGUUAAGUACUAAUACUAUUGUUUUUGAGUUUAAUUCAAUCUAUUUAACUAUUCAUUCAAUUUUGAGGUAAUUUUUUUACAUUUUUUCAUAUAAAAAUAAUUUAUUUCAAUUUUGAGUCAUGUUAACUUAUGCCCUUGGAGCAUAUAUUAAACAAUCUAAAAAGAGCAAUUUGAAAAACACAAUAAUAGGACAACUUUUAAAAAGUUGAAUGCACGCAUUUUGAUAUGUGUAUUUCUAUUAUGAGUUGAGGAUACAAGUUAACAUUUGUCUUUUUUAAUAAGUUCUCUCUACAAGGAAUUAUAUUCGAGAUACUAUUACAUAUUAAAUUUAGGUACCUCUAAUUUAAGGUGUUUUGGAUACGCUUUAAAUUGGUUUUAUGAUAAAAACUCAUUCAAUAUAUAUAUAUAAAAUUUCAACAAUUUAUAUUGGUUUUGAAUGACUAAUUUUAAAGACCUUAUCCGUUCUGAUAGAAUUUAACAGGGUUUUAAUUUGAAUUAGUUUUCUACUUGGAGAAUAAUUUUGUUUGCUAACUUGUACCUAAGGGUACAAGAUAAUAAACUAAAUGUAGAAAUUUAAUCUUGAAAGUUGUGUAUUUAUAAUCUUAAAAACUUAAAAAUUUAUCAUUUCAAAGCCACAUUUAUUUUUUAAUUCUAUUUUUAAAAUUCUUGUCUAAGGGUACAAGUUAGCUUUUUCUCACUUUAAUUGUCAUUUUUAUGUUUCAAUACAACAUUAAGAGAAAAGGAAGUAACACCGCCAAUGAUAUGUUAUUUUCUUGUCUUCUUCUGUUGGGUUAAGUUAAGGGUUGUUGGUCCAUCAACUGGAACAAGAAAUUAAACCUCCUAACCGAAGGCAAGGCAAGUCAAUGAAGGCCACAAAUAUUGUAAUAGUUUUAAUCCUAGCUAGUAUGAAUCAUAUUGUAUGAUGUUUGACUUCAAUAACUUUAAACAUUGGAACUCUUUUUUAUUUUUAUUUUUAUAAUGAUUGACAUUUCAUUUGUCAACCAUAUAACAUUAUUGGAUGAUUUGAACUGCUUUAAAAUCCACAUGAAGUCAAAACAGAUUGAAUGUCCAUUUUAAUAUUUUGGUUGAAUUUGAUGCGCUCCUUUCUUUCUUUUAAUUUCACUUCUAGAAUGUAAACUGAUUAAUUAUUAUUAUUAUUAUAAUUUGACUUGCCUACAUAUUUUCACAAUUUUUAAAAACAUUUGAAUUACAAGAUAAAGUAAUACUAUAUGCAUUGUCUAUUGAAAUUAUUAAAUUUUUGUAUUUGUUUGAACUGGAGUUAAAUAUGAAAUCUCAUGAAUUAGUCUUAAUAAUACAAAUAAACUAAUUAUAUCCUCUUUAAUUACUAUGCUAUCAUGAUCACAUAUUCAUCUUCCUUUAAUUUGUUGGAGAAGAAAAGCUGAGGUCUAAUCCAAUGUUCAUUCCAUUGUAAGCAAUUGGAGCAUACAUCCACAUGCUCAAAAGCUGUUUCAUAUCCAAAUAAAUAAAUAAACAAUGAAUUAAUAUUUAUCUUUUGCAUAUAAGAAAUUGAAAAUUGGAAGUUUCUCAAAUAGUUACCUUAAUUUGAAGCUGCAAAAACUUCACAUAUUGGACAGCUU